rnacentral:lncRNA from 1 species
AGGGGCUUUCUGGGAGCCCGGCGGCCGCGCACGCGCAGGAGCGCGCCUCUCCGCCAUGGCGUCGGCGCCGUCCAGUCAGCCGCCGGUGGUGGCGGCGACUUCCCCCCAGGAAGCGCGGUCUCCGCCUCCUCCCCCCACCCCGCCUGCUCGGCGGCGGAGGCGGCGGUGGAGGCAGCGGUUGUCCCUGCCUCUCCGCCACCUCCCCCUCGGCCUAUCCCCCGGCCGGCGGCGUUGGCGGGGAGGGGGACAGUAGUUGUAGACGCCCGCCCCUGCCUCAAAGAAGACACCACAUUGAAUGAACAAAGUUUGAAUCACAAAGGAUCUCACAUUAUGAGCUCCCCGGUUAUUGCACAUUCUCGUUAUUUGGGGAAAGUUCACGCUAGAAAACUGAAGCAAUUAAUGGGUGAAUAUGAUAAGAUUUCUCCACCAAGUUCUCAGCGUGAUAAGGAACUUUAAUAGAGAGAGAACAAACCAGAAGGCAUUCCAGAAUGCUUUUUUCACCAAUCAGAAGCAGCGGAAUGAAAUCCAAGCCCUGUACAGAAGAUACGGAACUCUGUUCCCCCACCUUCCCUUGUGCCCUAUACCUAAGAGUAGUUUUAUCUCGUAGCUGAAUUUCUAAUUUCCAGCAUUCCCAAACCAUUUUGUAAACAUCCUUUUAUUACUAAGUCUUAUAGUAUUGUAGUCAG